rnacentral:lncRNA from 9 species
CCGAGGCCGAAGCCGCAGGAGAGGGCCCAGAGGAGGAAACCUCAUCGAAAGCAGCAGACGAUGGAUCAGCACCCAGGGCAGACGCCUUCGGGCCUUUGCCCGCAGGGGCCCAGAGAGCCCCCCACCUGAGCCCCGCCAGGAGCUGGGCGAGGAAGGCAGAAGGUCUCCAGUUGAAACGCCCCCCAGGCCGCCCCCCAGGGGCCUCUCCCUGGCUGACAGGGAACUAAGAACAUCCCGCUCUGGGACUGAGGACAGGCACCACCUGGGCCUGAGACCCCUGGAUGGCCUGGCCCCGCCUGAGGCCCAGCCUGAAGCUCCCGCAGGAGACCCGCAGCCAGAGGCCAAGACACCACCCGGGCAGGAAGAACCUGCAGCCUCUCUGGCCCCAGCCCCAGACACUGACGGGCAUUUUCCUCCACUGGAGGAAGAUGGUUCUCCGGCUCCUGCAGGAGACCAAGGGCCACAGGAGAAUCCAGCAGCAGCCCUGCAGGAAGAGCCUGCACUGACUGCUCCAGAGGCCCCUAGACUAAGUCCUGAGCUGGCUCAGGCAAGAGCCCCAGGCCAAUUUCCAAAACCACCUUCCCCAAGGCCCCCUCCGCCCCUGCAAGUGCCCUCCCCAGCAGCUCCCCAAAAGCCCCAUUCACCCUCUCCCCCUCCCGAAAUGUACUCUCCUUCCCCUCUCGCCAUUUGUCUUUGGAUGUGUAUUGAUUUCCUAUUUCUCUUCCA